GACUUUUCUGAAGACAAUGAGCUAUCUCAGUUAAUUCAAUCAGUUACAGAUCAAACUCCGUGUUCUACUGUGUUCCCCAUUCUCACUACUGCACUUGAAUAGCACUUAA
rnacentral:Y_RNA from 7 species